rnacentral:rRNA from 1 species
CCUACGGUGAGCAGCAGUGAGGAAUAUUGGUCAAUGGUCGGGAGACUGAACCAGCCAAGCCGCGUGAGGGAGGAAGGUACAGAGUAUCGUAAACCUCUUUUGUCAGGGAACAAAGACUGGGACGCGUCCCCGGAUGAGUGUACCUGAAGAAAAAGCAUCGGCUAACUCCGUGCCAGCAGCCGCGGUAAUACGGAGGAUGCGAGCGUUCUCCGGAUUUAUUGGGUUUAAAGGGUGGGCAGGCGGUCUGGUAAGUCAGCGGUCAAAUCCAGGGGCUCAACCCCGGCCCGCCGUUGAGACUGGCAGUCGCGAGUUGGAGAGAAGUAUGCGGAAUGCGUGGUGUAGCGGUGAAAUGCAUAGAUAUCGCGCAGAACUCCGAUUGCGAAGGCAGCAUGCCGGCUCCACACUGACGCUGAGGCACGAAAGCGUGGGUAUCGAACAGGAUUAGAUACCCCUGUAGUC